AUUGAACGCUGGCGGCAGGCUUAACACAUGCAAGUCGAACGGGUGGCGGAAGGGUGAGUAAUGCAUGGGAAUAUAGCUUAUGGAGGGAGAUAACUACGGGAAACUGUAGCUGAUAACGCGUACCAGAGGAUGAGCCCAAGUGGGAUUAGGGAGUUGGUGAGGUAAAGGCUCACAAAGCCGACUAUCUCUAGCUGGUCUGAGAGGAGGACCAGCCACACUGGGACUGAGACACGGCCCAGACUCCUACGGGAGGCAGCAGUGGGGAAUAGUGCGCAAUGGGGGCAACCCUGACGCAGCCAUGCCGCGUGUAUGAAGAAGGCCCUAGGGUUGUAAAGUACUUUCAGUCGGUAGGCGUUACCGACAGAAGAAGCACCGGCUAACUCCGUGCCAGCAGCCGCGGUAAUUC
rnacentral:rRNA from 1 species